UUUCUUGGUUCUAACGCAUGUUUCCUGUCUCCUCGUAGUUUGCUCUGUGUUUUGGAUUACUCACCGACUGCUCGGCUAAAGCGCUGAAGUCUCAACCAAGCUCCUGAAUCCCUGUGCUCAGAUUUUGCUCUGGCAUUCCCCUCGAGCCCCCUUCGCUAUUACCAAGACGGACAAGAGAGCCCCCCUUACUGGAUUCAUCCUGGUUCUUUUGGCUGCUCUCUGCUUCCCGCCUCUGCUGUGGUGCUUUUUGGGCUUCCCGCCUCCGUUCCACCUGCUAGUCUUCCUGUCACUCAGUCACCUAGUUCCACCAACAGAAAGAAUCCGUCUUCCACUCCGCUCCCCCCGGAUAGGUUGCUCAUACCUGGCGUGUCUCAUAUCCCGACGUCUUGAUCAUAGCUGACGGCUCACUCAGUGAGCAUUACUUCUUUGUGUACCCUUGAGCCAAAUAAACAUCUUAAACUGC